UCCCAGGUUCAAGCGAUUCUCCUGCCUCAGCCCCUCAAGUAGCUGGGACUACAAGCGCACACCACCACGCCUGACUAAUUUUUUGUAUUUUUUUGUAGAGGCGGGGUUUCACCAUGUUGCCCAGACUGGUCUUGAACUCCUGAGCUUAAGCAAUCCACCUGCCUCGGCCUCCCAAAGUGUUGGGAUCACAGGCGUGAGCCACCGCAUCCGGCCUCAUGUUCUUUUUCAUUAAAGAGAGAAAUCAACUAUUCAGGACCGGCCCCCACCUUUCCUCAGGAGUCAUUUCUGUUCCGCACAGGCCUGCUGAACUGGGUGCUUUAUAUAGGACACUGUCAUCUCUCAAGUACCCAUCUUGGAGGGUACGGACCCCACAUGAGGGUGAGGCUCUCUGCACACUCCAGAGUGAGGACUUUAAUAAUCUAGUGGACUGUACAUGUUGGGAGGGGAAGAGCGGGGUGCCGAGGGUCUGGAGGGAGAAGAAUUGACUGCCCCUUUUGCUCUUGGAGUUAAGCAGAAAUCUAAA
rnacentral:lncRNA from 1 species